UACAGCAGUGAGGAAUUUUGGUCAAUGGCCUAACGGCUGAACUGGCAACUUGGAGAAGUGGCAAGUCUUAUUUUGAUUAUAUUAUUAUAUAUAAUCUAUAAGAUUGUAUUAAAAUUGAAUAAAGCUUUGUUUAUAUAUCGAUAAUGACGGUAUAUAUAUCGUGUCUUGGCUAAUUACGUGCCAGCAGCCGCGGUAAUACGUAAGAGACUAGUGUUAUUCAUCUUAAUUAGGUUUAAAGGGUACCUAGACGGUCAAUAUAUCUUCUACAAUGUUAGUACUUGACUAGAGUUUGAUAUAAGAGGGCAGUACUUGAGGAGGAGAGAUGAAAUUCUAUUAUACCAAAGGGACUCGGUAAAGGCGAAGGCAGCCCUCUAUGUAAAAACUGACGUUGAAGGACGAAGGCACAGAGCACAAACAGGAUUAGAUACCCAAGUAGUCUUUGCAGUAAAUGAUGAAUGUCAUAGGUUAGAUUAAGCUUUAAUAAAUUAGUUUAAUCAGUUUAAACUAACUAUUAAACAAUAUUUAGUCUAUAAAUGAAAGUGUAAGCAUUCCACCUCAAGAGU
rnacentral:rRNA from 1 species